rnacentral:rRNA from 1 species
AUUGAACGCUGGCGGCAGGCCUAACACAUGCAAGUCGAACGAGUGGCGGACGGGUGAGUAAUGUCUGUGAAACUGCCUGCUGGAGGGGGAUAACUACUGGAACCGGUAGCUAAUACCGCAUACAAUCCGAUGUGCCCAGAUGGGAUUAGCUUGUUGGUGGGGUAACGGGUCACCAAGGCGACGAUCCCUAGCCGGUCGGAGAGGAGGACCGGCCACACGGGAACUGAGACACGGUCCAGGCUCCUACGGGAGGCAGGAGGGGGGAAUAGUGCACAAUGGGCGAAGGCCUGAUGCAGCCAUGCCGCGUGUAGGAAGAAGGCCUUCGGGUUGGAAAGUACUUUCAGCGGGGAGGCGUUACCCGCAGAAGAAGCGCCGGCUAACUCCGUGCCAGCAGCCGCGGUAAUAC